GGCCCACUUGGAGUACACAUUCAAUGUCUAUGCUUCAUAAAAAAUUUAAGCAAGCAAGACGUCAUACUCAUUGAAAGUUUGAGAAUAGGUUGAAGACGUUUCGUCCCACAAUUCCUCUAAUCAUUCGCUUUACCGAAUAUAACUGCUUUAUUUAACGUACUCCAGCUAUCCUGAGGGAAACUUCAGAGGGAACCAGCUACUAGAUAGUUCGAUUAGUCUUUCGCCCCUAUACCAAAGUCAGACGAUCGAUUUGCACGUCAGAAUCGCUUCGGACCUUCACCAGAGUUUCCUCUGGCUUCAUCCUGCUCAGGUAUAGUUCACCAUCUUUCGGGUCCCAGCAUAUACGCUCUACCUCCGCCCUAUUGCAUGCAACAUGAACGGGGUUAUGUUACGCUACAUAUACAUAUAUAUAUAUAUAUAUAUAUAUAUAGAUCACAUAUCAAUUAUACCAAAGAUAAUCUUUACUUUCAUUAUGCUUUUUAUCUUUUAAAUUAGGUUUACUACCCAAUAACUUGCGUAUAUGCUAGACUCCUUGGUCCGUGUUUCAAGACGGGUCAGAUAGGUGAUUAACGUUCACAUCGAGAUGUAACUUUAUUGCAUACAAUAUUAUAAUAUUACCAAUUAUUUUUACCGAUAAAGUCGCAUGCGACCACAUGUAAAAUAAUAAUAAGCAAAAUUAUAAUCGAUACAUGUCACUAUUAUUUCAAGUGAAAGUUACAUAUAUGGGAAAAAAAAAAGCUAAAACUUCAGCUACUAAGUUCAUAUUUCAUACCAUCAGAAUCGCUUCGGACCUUCACCAGAGUUUCCUCUGGCUUCAUCCUGGUAUAGUUCCAGCAUAUAUCUAAUUGCAUGCAACAUAAUAUGGUCAUAUACAUAUAUAUAUAUAUAUAUAUAUAUAUAGAUCACAUAUCAAUUAUGAUAAUCUUUACUUUCAUUAUGCUUUUUAUCUUUUAAAUUAGGUACUACCCAAUAACUUGCGUAUAUGCAUCAAGACGGGUCAUAGGUAUUAACGUUCACAUCGAGAUGUAACUUUAUUGCAUACAAUAUUAUAAUGCAUUUUUAUAUUGCUAAUAAUAAUAAGCAAAAUUAAUAUACAUGUUAUUAUUCAAGUGAAAGUUACAUAAUAAAAAAAUCUAAGACAUAUUUCAACAUAAUUUGAUUCCAAUUAUCAAUUGAAAUAAUUGGUCCACUAAAUUAACUUGUAUUAAUAUGCUAAAAUGAAGUUCUCGAUGCAUACCAUGUAAAUACAAUCUAUGCAUAUAGUUUCGUUAACUCUAUCUAAAUUAAUUGGUUGAAUUUCGUUAAUCUCAGCGGUUUCACGCCCUCUUGAACUCUCUCUUCAAAGUUCUUUGCAACUUUCCCUCACGGUACUUGUUUGCUAUCGGUCUCAUGGUCGUAUUUAGCCUUAGAUGAGGUUUACCACCCUCUUUGGGCUGCAAUCUCAAACAACCCGACUCCAAGGAAUAACCUACCGUAACUUUUUCACCCGUACAGGUCUAGCACCUUCUAUGGACUGUAGCCCCGCUCAAGGGGACUUUGGGUGUAAAAAUAUGUUACGGAUAGUUAUACCUAUACGCUACAUUUCCAUAUAGCCAUAUAAUAUCUAUUGGAUUCAGCGUUGGGCUUUUUCCUUUUCACUCGCCGUUACUAGGGAAAUCCUCGUUAGUUUCUUUUCCUCCGCUUAGUUAUAUGCUUAAAUUCAGCGGGUAAUCACGACUGAGUUGAGGUCAAAGAAAUGAUAUAAAACAUAUUGAAAUUAUCAUUCACAUAUAUAUGCUAAUUUUUUUACUCUAUUUAUUUGUUUAUUUUAAUGUUUCAAAUAUAACUUGCAUUUUAAUUUGAAACAUUUAACAACGAAACAAACAAACAAACAAUAUAGUAAAUCAAUGCAUAAUAAAUGAAUAAUUAUAAUCUUUCUUUAUUAUUUAUAAAUAAUUAUUCAUGAAAGAUUAUUUUUUAAUAUAUAUAUAUUCAAUAUGUUAAAUAUGGUAAAAAUAUUACUCAUAUCUAUUACUUAUCAGGGGAUUUAUUUUGAGAUUUUUUCAUUCUCAUUCUCUGUUACAAAUCACCUGAUGCAUUUUUGUAUCUAAUCAUUGAUUCAAUCAUCUUUUUUCAUUCAUCAUCAUCAAAUAAUCUUUUAACAAACAAACAAAAAUUAUUUGAUAAUAAUAAAUAAAUAUAAAUCAAUGCAAAUACAAUUAUUACUUUUAAUUGACCCUCAACCAGACGUACCAUCGGGAAUCAACCCAAUGGUGCAAUGUGCAUUCGAAAUCUUUGUGCUCAAUGCGUCUGCAAUUCGCACUAUUUAUCGCAGCUAGCUGCGUUCUUCAUCGAUCCAUGAGCCAAGUGAUCCACCGCUAAGAGU